UCUCUGCCGCUCAGACUGAUGGACGUUGUGAAAGAUGAAUGAACUCCUCAGAAAACAACUUCUCCUGCAAUUCCUGGCAUCUUCCCUGUGGAUCUCAGGCUCUGCCGGCGGGAGCGACGUCACCCAGCCCGCCGUCUUAUGGAGGAACGAGAGUGAAGACGCAACAAUCGACUGCAGCCACAGAAAGGGUCAGUUGUACUUCCAGAUGUAUUGGUUCAGGCAGCUGCCGGGGAAAACGAUGGAGCUCAUCGUCUUCACCACGGCGGGCAGCAGCAAGCACGACUUCGGCGGCUUCAGCCAGGAGAAGUUUUCAGCCGUCAAAGCGGAGGCCGAGAGUGGAGCGCUGACGGUGAAGAGCCUGGAGCCGGCAGACGGAGGCCAGUAUUUCUGCGCAGUGAGCUCAGCACAGCGGUGCAGGAGGCCAGGAAGGUAG